rnacentral:lncRNA from 1 species
UGCGUAUUAAUAAGAAAUUAUACAAUUCCUUUGAUAAAUCUUCCUGUAAUAAAAUUAAAGAACAUGUCCUUUGGCCGUGCUUAAAAGCCAUAGGUGGUGACUUUUGAUUCUGAAAAAUGUGAAUUUGAACGGGAAAUAAGUACCUUAAAACUAAUUAUACCUUACUUUUAAUCACAAUCAGAGACUUGUGGGCUGGGGAUUUCGUGAAUUUCACACAGCAAAUCACUUGGCAGUAAUAUUUGAUCCGAAUUUUUGCAAGAACACAACAAAUCUCAGUAAAAUGACUUCUCAGAAAUUACUUCAUCAGAAGAAUUAAGAAGAAUUAAGAAUUUUUCUUUACAGUAGAAGAAAAUAUGAUCCGAAAACAAAAGCAAAUAAAUGCAUAAAUUCCACCAUAAAAUUAGGUUUCUUGAAUUAUUGGAUCCCUUCUAAGCCAUGCCUUGAGUGGACUGAUUUCAGAAUUCCAUCAGCUGAAAACUUAAUGAAUCUUGCGCAUUCCAGGAAAAUGAACUUUUCAGAAUAGAGAAGCGAUUGUCUUAAAACCCGAACCUUGCAUUGUAAAAGCUUAAUUUCAUCACUGCCGUAUGGCGACCCUUUGUUCGGCCAAGUCCCAGUGCAAAAAUAAAGAAUUCCAGUGAAAAAGCACAGACAUUUUUAGACAUUCAAACUGUAAUUUCAAAUAAAACGAUUGACCAUAUAAGAUUCGCACCACCACUUCUCUGAAAUCAUGGUUCUAACCAGCACUUUCCCAGAUCGAGUCGAAAUUUUUUAAAAGAAGAUACAUAAAUCUGAACACCAAAGCUGUCAAAUACUAUAAAUGCUGUCUGGAUUUAAAGAUAGGAACAAGAUAAAAUGGUGGGUUCCACAGAUGACUCUGUUUUGCUGUCAGUUUGGGUCCCAAAAUUCCACAUUUUGAGAGUAUUUUCUUGUGACUGGUUUU